AGGGGAGAGUAAGUUUAGGGAAGGAGAGAGAGGGGGGAAUAUUGUUUGUUUCUAGUUGUUGUUUCUACUAAAGUUUUUUUGUUGUGUCGGUACUGGUGGCAUUUUUUUAAAUUUAUUUUUUAUAUGGAUGAUGAUACUUUGUGGAUUUUUUUAUUCUGUUCAGAGGAUGAAAUAGUCAAAAUGUCUUGUUACAUGACAUAUCCUUACCUUUAUUUUGAUAUUUUAAUUCUAUGAGGUUUGGUUGUUAAUUUUGUGUUAUCCUGCAUUAAUAGUUAAUUCCAUGGUUAAAAUUCAUAGUUGAAUGGAUGGAUUAAGGGGGAGUGUAAAGUUGAUUUCUC
rnacentral:lncRNA from 1 species